UUUUUGACUAAUUUGACCUCAAAUCAGGUAGGACUACCCGCUGAACUUAAGCAUAUCAAUAAGCGGAGGAAAAGAAACUAACAAGGAUUCCCCUAGUAACUGCGAGUGAAGAGGGAAAAGCUCAAAUUUAAAAUCUGGUAGUCUCUGGCUGCCCGAGUUGUAAUCUAGAGAAGCAUUAUCCGCGCCGGACCAUGUACAAGUUUUCCUGGAAUGGAGCGUCAUAGAGGGUGAGAAUCCCGUCUUUGACAUGGGCUACCGGGGCUUUGUGAUGUGCUCUCCAAGAGUCGAGUUGUUUGGGAAUGCAGCUCUAAAUGGGUGGUAAAUUCCAUCUAAAGCUAAAUAUUGGCGAGAGACCGAUAGCGAACAAGUACCGUGAGGGAAAGAUGAAAAGAACUUUGGAAAGAGAGUUAAACAGUACGUGAAAUUGUUGAAAGGGAAACGCUUGAAGUCAGUCGCGUCUGCCAGGAAUCAACCUUGCAUUUUUGCUGGGUGUACUUUCUGGUUGGACGGGUCAGCAUCAAUUUUGAUCAGUGGAAAAAGUUCAGAGGAAUGUGGCACCUUCGGGUGUGUUAUAGCCUUUGUUCGUAUACAUUGAUUGGGAUUGAGGAACUCAGCAUGCCGUAAGGCCGGGUCUUUUGACUACGUUCAUGCUUAGGAUGCUGGCAUAAUGGCUUUAAUCGACCCGUCUUGAAACACGGACCAAGGAGUCUAACAUGCCCGCGAGUGUUUGGGUGGAAAACCCAGACGCGUAAUGAAAGUGAAGGUUGAGAUCCCUGUCGUGGGGAGCAUCGACGCCCGGACCAGAACUUCUGUGACGGAUCCGCGGUAGAGCGUGUAUGUUGGGACCCGAAAGAUGGUGAACUAUGCCUGAAUAGGGUGAAGCCAGAGGAAACUCUGGUGGAGGCUCGUAGCGAUUCUGA
rnacentral:rRNA from 1 species